UAUCUUGUAUCUUUGGACUUCUGCCU
rnacentral:piRNA from 1 species